ACUGCAAUUUACCUCCUUAUUUUGUCUGCCCUGUAACUAUUUAGAAUUGGCCUUUUAUGCAUAAAGUAAAGAUAACCUAGGAAAGUGGUUUGUGUAUUGGCUAGUUGCCUUGAAGACACGAAAGAGAGGGAUGCAGUCUGAGUUUUAAUGAGGAGCACGUAGAUUUUAACCUAUUUUAAGAACAUCUGUGACACAGAUAUAUUAAUUUUAACUAGUUUGUACAUACCUAGCUCUAUCAAAGCUAAAUGAAUUGGCAGUCAAGCUUAACCAGAAAUUAGGAAUUUAUAUGUGUCUCGACAUUUAAGGCCGACGAGGCAGGGAAUUCAUGCUGAAAACGAUUUCCAUUCAGUUUCUUCUUGUGUAUUCAUCCAUUGGAUGGUUGCUUAAGAAUAAGGCAUUGGAUGGCCCCUUACUUGUGAUAGACACGAAUAAGGAGAGAUUUCUGUACUAUCUGAUACAAGGAUUUGGAGCCUUGAUAAAUCUUGGAGAACAAUCACGCUUACCUAAAAGCUGUGAUAUCAUAUUGGUAUUGUGAAAGGAAUUAGCAUAUGUUGACUGGAUAAAGGUGCAACCAAGCACAGACAUUUAUAAAACAUCCCACUCAUCCAUCACAAAUCUUCUCCUUUUAUGAAUUAUUGUGUGGUUUUUGUCUGAGGAGAGACUAUAGACCAUCAGCCAUGUUGUUUUAGAAAAAAUAAAACCAAAAACUGCGUGUCCAACUUCAAAUGAGGAAAUUCUUCUCGCAACAUUGCCGAUCCUUUGAAUAUGUAGAAAGCUGAAUGAGAGAGAUUUUUAUCCACCAAGUAUUCAGAGGAAUAUUGUGUUGUUUUUAAUUAUCUAGCCCUAACAGCUUGGAGAUUGUUAAAAGAUUGUGUUUUCUCAGUAACUUUUUCGUUCCUAAAAUCCCAAUUAAUGAUUUUAAAUACGUGAAGGAUUACUGAGAUUGGACAGAGAGAAUUUGUUUGGGCGGAGAAGAAAGCGGAAUAUUUUACGGAGAAGCUUAUCAGGUGAGACCUCGGACACCCCUUGCAAACAGUGAUCUUCAUUUUCAAAAUUAUCGGUGACCAAGAAACCCAUUCGAUCUUUGGAUUUUACGACUUGAAAUUAGAGAUCUUUGACACAGGUUACAAGAAAAUUGACUGGAGAUAGGGGAUUGGGACAGAUAAACGAAUUUAAAGUCCAGCAGGUCGAAAGAUUGUGUUUGUGGAAUUCAUGAGAAGUGCAUUGAAAAAACAUUUACUGUGCUUAGAUGACCAAGUAAUGUAUGCAGAGAACACAAGGAAUGGUUUGUUUGGGCUUGGUCAUUUGUGUGAAAAAGAUCGUUAACUAAAGGGCACGAUUUAUGUACAGUUUUUAGCCGUAGUUUUCUAAGGCUUCAUCAACAGCCCAUAAAGAGAGACUGGAGUUUAUUGUCACUUUUGUCCAGGAGACCGUCGGUGGAUGUUUGGUCCAGGCAUAGAGCUCUAUUUAGCAUUAAUGAACAUUUCAGUCAGAAAAGGAGCCUAUUCAGAGUUCUUAAGACCCCUUCACUUUAGUGAAAUCUGUGUAAGUUAGUGGCGUAUUUUGAAACCUGUAUGAGAUGUUAACCUUCACAAAAGCGAGUGGAUGAAUAGACCUGUUGCUGUGAGUGUAGGUAGCCUUACUGAAUUGGAUGAAAAGGUAUUUUAUCAUUUUAUGCAUCUCCUUAGGGAUGCCUAUAUCAUGUUGACUGUAUACCCGGCCUUUAUAAUUUGCAUAAAAAGGUGGCGUGUAUGUAUUGUGUAAUAAAACACGAAGUCU
rnacentral:sRNA from 1 species